AAAACGGUCCUUUUAAGGACCAUUCACAUUGCCGCUCGCAAGGCCG
rfam:Ixodes scapularis strain Wikel colony gcontig_1108379033860, whole genome shotgun sequence.